rnacentral:rRNA from 1 species
AAGUCGAACGGUAAGGCCUUUCGGGGUACACGAGCGGCGAACGGGUGAGUAACACGUGGGUGAUCUGCCCUGCACUUCGGGAUAAGCCUGGGAAACUGGGUCUAAUACCGGAUAUGACCUCCUAUCGCAUGGUGGGUGGUGGAAAGAUUUAUCGGUGCAGGAUGGGCCCGCGGCCUAUCAGCUUGUUGGUGGGGUAAUGGCCUACCAAGGCGACGACGGGUAGCCGACCUGAGAGGGUGACCGGCCACACUGGGACUGAGACACGGCCCAGACUCCUACGGGAGGCAGCAGUGGGGAAUAUUGCACAAUGGGCGAAAGCCUGAUGCAGCGACGCCGCGUGAGGGAUGACGGCCUUCGGGUUGUAAACCUCUUUCAGCAGGGACGAAGCGCAAGUGACGGUACCUGCAGAAGAAGCACCGGCUAACUACGUGCCAGCAGCCGCGGUAAUACGUAGGGUGCAAGCGUUGUCCGGAAUUACUGGGCGUAAAGAGUUCGUAGGCGGUUUGUCGCGUCGUUUGUGAAAACCAGCAGCUCAACUGCUGGCUUGCAGGCGAUACGGGCAGACUUGAGUACUGCAGGGGAGACUGGAAUUCCUGGUGUAGCGGUGAAAUGCGCAG